UACGUAGGGUGCAAGCGUUGUCCGGAAUUAUUGGGCGUAAAGAGCUCGUAGGCGGUUUGUCGCGUCUGCUGUGAAAACUCGGGGCUUAACUCCGGGCCUGCAGUGGGUACGGGCAGACUAGAGUGCGGCAGGGGAGACUGGAAUUCCUGGUGUAGCGGUGAAAUGCGCAGAUAUCAGGAGGAACACCGGUGGCGAAGGCGGGUCUCUGGGCCGUAACUGACGCUGAGGAGCGAAAGCGUGGGGAGCAAACAGG
rnacentral:rRNA from 1 species